rnacentral:rRNA from 1 species
UACGGGGGGGGGGUAAGCGUUGUUCGGAAUUACUGGGCGUAAAGGGCGCGUAGGCGGCGCGGUAAGUCACUUGUGAAAUCUCUGAGCUUAACUCAGAACGGCCAAGUGAUACUGCAGUGCUAGAGUGCAGAAGGGGCAAUCGGAAUUCUUGGUGUAGCGGUGAAAUGCGUAGAUAUCAAGAGGAACACCUGAGGUGAAGACGGGUUGCUAGGCUGACACGUGACGCUGAGGCGCGAAAGCCAGGGGAGCAAACGGG